GUUCGGCUGGUGUAGUGGUUAUCACAUCUUGCUCACAUUCGAUGAUAGGAAUAUCACGGGUCAGAUCCAAGAAGGUGGCAGGUUCGAUCCCUGCGUCGAACA